rnacentral:rRNA from 1 species
CCUACGGGAGGCAGCAGUGAGGAAUAUUGGUCAAUGGACGCAAGUCUGAACCAGCCAUGCCGCGUGCAGGAAGACGGCCCUAUGAGUUGUAAAUUGUUUUUGUACGAGGGUAAACGCAUAUUCGCGUAUCUGUCUGAAAGGACCGUACGAAUAAGGAUCGGCUAACUCGGUGCCAGCAGCGGCGGUAAUACGGAGGAUUCAAGCGUUAUCCGGAUUGAUUGGGUUUAAAGGGUGCGUAGGCGGUCGGAUAAGUUAGAGGUGAAAUCCCGAGGCUCAACUUCGGAAUUGCCUCUGAUACUGUUCGGCUAGAGAGUAGUUGCGGUAGGCGGAAUGUAUGGUGUAGCGGUGAAAUGCUUAGAGAUCAUACAGAACACCGAUUGCGAAGGCAGCUUACCAAGCUACUUCUGACGUUGAGGCACGAAAGCGUGGGGAGCAAACAGGAUUAGAUACCCCUGUAGUC